AUACUUACCUGGCAGGGGAGAUACCAUGAUCACGAAGGUGGUUUUCCCAGGGCGAGGCUUAUCCAUUGCACUCUGGGUGUGCUGACCCCUGCGACUUCCCCAAAUGUGGGAAGUUCGACUGCAUAAUUUGGGGUAGUAGGGGGCUGCGUUCGCUCUUUCCCCUG
rnacentral:snRNA from 2 species